rnacentral:lncRNA from 1 species
GAGGCCGCCACUUUCUUCAGGGCUAUCAGAUGAAGGCAGCAACGAAAACACCACCACAAGACCAACUUCAGGCUGGAGCUGAUGAUGCCACACAGAAAAUAGACUCUACUUAGAAAUGAAACUCAACUAAAGGUAAAAGUUGUCAGGAACAUCUCCAAGAAAGCCAGAGUCAGCCUCUAAACUUUGCAUCAAGAACGCAAUGGCUUCCCUGAGGGCCCAGGGACGCGUGGCAGCUGUGAGGCAGCCCCUUCUCUGCUGUCGAGGAACUGGACACUUCUCCUGUCCCUUCCCACAAGGUAUAAUAUUAGGCAGAAACCCAAUAUAAAAAGAAAAGCAGAGUUGUUGUAGAUUCAUCGAGGGUUGGCGACCUGGUUCCAAUGAGCCAUCUCCCUGUUCCGACAGGGGCUUCCUGGAGCUCCUGCAACCCCAGGCAUUAGUUCCGGUGCAGUUCUAGGAUCAGAUCAAUUCACUCGACAACAAGAGAAACAAAUGGAGAUUCCUACACAAAGACUUUCAAGCACAAAGAAAUCCUGCUGCCUGUAAAGCGGAGCUGCCUCAGCCCUUGAUGAACGACAGAAAAUCUCACAUUCCAGGAAUUCAGAUGAAGUGAAGUGCUCUCAUGGGGACCAGGCAUGGUUAUGCCAGUCCACUGCCCUGCAAGCCUCAAGGGAAGCCAACUGCCCUUCAGCAAGUCACACCUGCCUUGGUGGAGGCCUUGAUUGGAAGUGCCACACGCUACAUGUCCAGUCCUGAGCGGGAGAAUCGGUGUAGGGACGUUCUGGGGAUGCCAGCUGUGGCCAGAUCAGGUCCAACUACAGAAGAAUAAUGAAGACUCCACCUGAGGGCUGGAAAAACAAAACCUCAAGUGUGAGGCAGCCAACCUGUUACCUCGAGGGACUGUUCCGCAGCACAGCGGGGCCAUGGGAACAGCAGCAGACACCCCGACCUCCUCGCUACCUGUGUGUGUAUUAACACGCCGGCCUCCUCGCUACCUAUCAACUAUGGCCUGA